rnacentral:rRNA from 1 species
GAUUGGUAAUGGACGAAAGUCUGAACCAGCCAUGCCGCGUGGAGGAUGAAGGUCCUCUGGAUUGUAAACUUCUUUUAUCUGGGACGAAAAAAGGUUUUUCUAGACCGACUGACGGUACCAGAUGAAUAAGCACCGGCUAACUCCGUGCCAGCAGCCGCGGUAAUACGGAGGGUGCAAGCGUUAUCCGGAUUCACUGGGUUUAAAGGGUGCGUAGGUGGAUUGGUAAGUCAGUGGUGAAAUCUCCGGGCUUAACCCGGAAACUGCCAUUGAUACUAUCAAUCUUGAAUACCGUGGAGGUCAGUAGAAUAUGUCAUGUAGCGGUGAAAUGCUUAGAUAUGACAUAGAAUACCAAUUGCGAAGGCAGCUGGCUACACGAAUAUUGACACUCAGGCACGAAAGCGUGGGGAUCAAACAGGAUUAGAUACCCUGGUAGUCCACGCCCUAAACGAUGGAUACUCGACAUACGCGAUACACUGUGUGUGUCUGAGCGAAAGCAUUAAGUAUCCCACCUGGGAAGUACGAUCGCAAGAUUGAAACUCAAAAAAAUUGACGGA